rnacentral:lncRNA from 1 species
GAACAUUUCAGACACUCAGAGCUGCACAUCACACGCUAUGCAGAGGCGCUCUGGACAGAGCGGUUGGCCUGAAGUGGGGACAGCCAGGAGGCAGUACAGCUGGGACAGAGUGGCCGAUGAGUCACGGGUCAGUAACCUGGGGACAGAUUAGUUGCACAGCCCUUGCAGUUGUCCCAGCAGAACAGGAAAUGCUGAUGGUGAAGGCGAAAGACAAGUAACUACAGGAACAAAGCCCUUUCGCUGGAGAGAGAAGUGAAGUCCAGCAUUUCAGCAAUUCAGUUCAUGCGCCAUCAAGAGAGGAGUGGCAAUGGCUGGAACAUGGAGGGCAGAAGAUGGGCUGGCUGACCUUGAACUCAGAGAUCUGCUUGCCUCAGUCUCCUGGGAUUAAAGGCGUGUACUCCCUUCCCUGGGCCUAAGCUUUUCAUGGCCACGGUGCUUCAAGAUCUUCAUGUCAGAAUCCAGGACAGAAGCCCUGUAUCUUCCAGCCUCAAGAUCUGGAUCACAGCCUUCCUAUGUAGUCUAUCUACAUGAUGGUGAUAAAUGGCCCGUACAUCUCCAGUUAUCUUCUUUGUGAGCACUUCCUGUCAUCUUUUGUGAAUAAAUUUCUAAACUUGGAAUUCUCAGCUCAAAACUCAAUAAACAUUUUGAAAUGUGAUAUAAAUUGCCACCUAGAAAUGUCUCAACUUGAUUUUUUUUAUAUUCAAAAUAUAGACAUAGGGAAGAACUUUUUAAAAAAGAUUUAUUUAUUUAUUUUGUGUAUAUCAGAACACUGUAGUUGUCUUCAGAUGCACCAGAAGAGAGCAUUGGAUCCCAUUACAGGUGGUUGUGACCCACCAUGGAGUUGCUGGGAAUUGAACUCAGGACCUCUGGAAGGGCAACCAGUGCUCUUAACCCCUGAGCCAUCUCUCCAGCCCUGCAAGCUCUUUCUUAAAGUGACAUCAAUAGCACAUACAAUAAUCAUAAGAAUUGAUUAAUGGGAUUGCAUAAAAAUGAAAACACUUUUGCACUACAAAUGAAACAAUCAGCAGAGUGAAGAGACAGCUAUCGAACAGGAAAAACUCUAUCUGCCAACUACACACCGGAAGAGCAGCAUCUAGAUGUAUAAAAAACUGCAGAAAUUAAACAACAACAAAAUCAUCUCAUUGACAAAUAGACCAGUGGACUGAAUAGACAAAUCCCCACAGAAGAAGCACAAGGAGCCAACAAAUACUUGGAAAGGUGUUUGAAAGCCUUCGUUAUCAGGGGAAUGCAAAUUAAAACUACUUUUAGGUUCUACCUCACAUUCAUUUGUCAAAGUGGUCAGCAUCAAGACAACAAAUGGCAGCAAAUGGUACCAAGGAUGUGGGUAGAGAUGAGGACUCCUGUGCUGCCAAAGUAGGAGCUGGUACAGCCACUGUAGAUCCUGACAGAGAUGCUUCCAUGUGACCCAGCGACACCACUCCUGGGUAUGUACCUAGCAGCCUCUGAAUCAGCACGUCACAGAGACACUUGCACAACCAUGCUUGUUACUAUUCUACUCACAAAGAAUUGAACCAGCCUAGAAUCCCAGCAGCAGAUGAAUAGACAAAGGAAACAUGGUCCAUGUACACAAUGGAAUUUUAUACAGCUGUAAAGAAAAGUGAGAUAAUUACAUUUGCUAAAAAAUGGAUGCGAUAAGCCAAGCUCAGGAAGACAAGUGCUGCGUGCUCUCCUUCCUCUGCCGAGCCUAUAUUUAAGUUUUAUAUAUAGGAGUGUGUAUCUGUGUGUGCUUAUUUUUUAAAGUUAUUGAUCAUUUACUGAAUACAGGCAUUAUUAGCCUCUCGGGAUUUGAAACUAUGUAAAACGUAUUGUGUUGUUGUUAUGGGAGAACUUAUAAUUGGCCAUUUGCUUUAACUAAAUGGUAGGCUCCUGCCAUCCUCCCCAAAUGUCUGCUUGAAUUUAUAAUUAGUAAUAUGCUGGAUGAGAUACUGGCUUUGCCUCUAAAUAUAUUUCUCAUCUGCAUCUAUGACACACAAAGAAGACCUUUCUAAUUCUUGAAGCCAACCUCCAGCAUCUUUGCGUAUGUGCUAGUUUACAGAACACAUAGGCAUAUGAAAUGCCUCUAUUUUUAUCCUAAGCUUGUGCAUUUGGAAGAAAGGAAGAGAUGUUUACUUACAGAUUAGAAUAUAUAUUAAUUUGGUCUUAAAGGGGAAAUGACUGCUUCGUUCAUGCCCAUGGUGGAGGAUUGUACAGGAAAUUCUAAAUUCUGGCUCUGCAGGUCUGAGCUACAUGCAGGUCAGUCUUUCUGGUGUUUUUUACUUUUCUAUUUGCAGGAACUUUGAUAUCUGAGGCAGUGAUGUCAGCCUUGGCCAUAUGAUAGACUCAGGUCAAUGAGAUGUUAUCACAUAAGUUAUUUUAUACUUUACAUAUACUUUAAGAGCCAGCAUUCAGUUGCGAAAUUUCUCUUUCUUCUUCUGCCUCAGCAUCAACACAUCCUUGACCAGAGCUGCUGUUUCAGUGUGGGUCACUAAAUAAAGAAGAAUAUAACAUCCGUGUAGCAUAGAAAGAAAUAAGUUUAUGAGGUGGAAGCCAUUAAGGUUUUCAGAUCAUCUGCUACUUCAGUGUAAUGCAGCCUGAGAUGACUCUCCUCUACGUUAAGAACAGUAUGGUUCUCUAUGAUAGGAGGCCCCUGUUCUCUCCUUAAUCCAAUUCAUUCAUUUGCAUUUGUAACACGUGACUUUACUUUCAUAGAAUCAGCACAUUGGACAGCAGUGUAAUUUUUGGAGGGUCAAGUACAAGAAAUAUCUUACCUUUUUUUCUUCUUCUUCUUCUUCUUACAAAUACUAGGACAGCAUUUCAUGCUGAUAAUCAAAAUUUCUAGCUCUAAUCUUUAAUAUCAACCGAUUACCUGGGUUGACUUCAAGAUAAAAGGCAAGAAUAAACUGUGAUCUCAAUUUAAUUUUUUUAAAAAUGAAAAAAAGAAAAAAACCUAACUGUGGUUUUUGAGAUGACUCAUUGGGUAAAGGUGCUUGUGGCCAAGCCUCAUGACCUGAGUUUGAUCCCAAGGACCCACGGGAUAGAAUGAGACUCCCCCAAGCUGUCCUCUGACCUCUGUCCACGCACCUGCAUUUGGAUGAACACACCAAUAAAUCAAUGCAAUGCAGUUUUAAAAAAAUCAUAUUGACCAACUCUCCAUCCUGAAGGUGCUUGAAGCUUGAAGCUCCAUGACCUUUCAGCCCAGGCUUUCAUGCUAUUUAACCCAUGCUUGUCACAGAAGAAAUAAUGUUAUUGCCAUUGCGCUUGUAUUCUAUCUGCUUGCUCUUCCCUUGAGAAUAAGGAUAAUAUUUUGUCCAACAUGCAAUACAUAUUAUAUCAAU